CUACGGGAGGCAGCAGUGGGGAAUAUUGGACAAUGGGCGCAAGCCUGAUCCAGCAAUGCCGCGUGAGUGAAGACGGCCUUAGGGUUGUAAGACUCUUUCGCUAGGGAAGAUAAUGACUGUACCUAGUAAAGAAGUCCCGGCUAACUCCGUGCCAGCAGCCGCGGUAAUACGGAGGGGACUAGCGUUGUUCGGAAUUACUGGGCGUAAAGAGUUCGUAGGCGGACUGACAAGUUAGAGGUGAAAUCCCAGGGCUCAACCCUGGAACUGCCUUUAAAACUGUCAGUCUAGAGACCGGAAGAGGUUAGGGGAAUACCUAGUGUAGGGGUGAAAUUCGUAGAUAUUAGGUGGAACACCAGUGGCGAAGGCGCCUAACUGGUCCGGUACUGACGCUGAGGAACGAAAGCGUGGGGAGCAAACAGGAUUAGAUACCCGUGUAGUC
rnacentral:rRNA from 1 species